GACGAACGCUGGCGGCGUGCCUAACACAUGCAAGUCGAACGGAAAGGCCCUGCUUUUGUGGGGUGCUCGAGUGGCGAACGGGUGAGUAACACGUGAGUAACCUGCCCUUGACUUUGGGAUAACUUCAGGAAACUGGGGCUAAUACCGGAUAGGAGCUCCUGCUGCAUGGUGGGGGUUGGAAAGUUUCGGCGGUUGGGGAUGGACUCGCGGCUUAUCAGCUUGUUGGUGGGGUAGUGGCUUACCAAGGCUUUGACGGGUAGCCGGCCUGAGAGGGUGACCGGCCACAUUGGGACUGAGAUACGGCCCAGACUCCUACGGGAGGCAGCAGUGGGGAAUAUUGCACAAUGGGCGGAAGCCUGAUGCAGCAACGCCGCGUGCGGGAUGACGGCCUUCGGGUUGUAAACCGCUUUCGCCUGUGACGAAGCGUGAGUGACGGUAAUGGGUAAAGAAGCACCGGCUAACUACGUGCCAGCAGCCGCGGUGAUACGUAGGGUGCGAGCGUUGUCCGGAUUUAUUGGGCGUAAAGGGCUCGUAGGUGGUUGAUCGCGUCGGAAGUGUAAUCUUGGGGCUUAACCCUGAGCGUGCUUUCGAUACGGGUUGACUUGAGGAAGGUAGGGGAGAAUGGAAUUCCUGGUGGAGCGGUGGAAUGCGCAGAUAUCAGGAGGAACACCAGUGGCGAAGGCGGUUCUCUGGGCCUUUCCUGACGCUGAGGAGCGAAAGCGUGGGGAGCGAACAGGCUUAGAUACCCUGGUAGUCCACGCUGUAAACGGUGGGUACUAGGUGUGGGGUCCAUUCCACGGGUUCCGUGCCGUAGCUAACGCUUUAAGUACCCCGCCUGGGGAGUACGGCCGCAAGGCUAAAACUCAAAGGAAUUGACGGGGCCCCGCACAAGCGGCGGAGCAUGCGGAUUAAUUCGAUGCAACGCGUAGAACCUUACCUGGGUUUGACAUGGAUCGGGAGUGCUCAGAGAUGGGUGUGCCUCUUUUGGGGUCGGUUCACAGGUGGUGCAUGGCUGUCGUCAGCUCGUGUCGUGGGAUGUUGGGUUAAGUCCCGCAACGAGCGCAACCCUUGUUCACUGUUGCCAGCACGUUAUGGUGGGGACUCAGUGGAGACCGCCGGGGUCAACUCGGAGGAAGGUGGGGAUGACGUCAAGUCAUCAUGCCCCUUAUGUCCAGGGCUUCACGCAUGCUACAAUGGCUGGUACAGAGAGUGGCGAGCCUGUGAGGGUGAGCGAAUCUCGGAAAGCCGGUCUCAGUUCGGAUUGGGGUCUGCAACUCGACCUCAUGAAGUCGGAGUCGCUAGUAAUCGCAGAUCAGCAACGCUGCGGUGAAUACGUUCCCGGG
rnacentral:rRNA from 1 species